UCGAAAUGAAAUAGUGGUUCAUCAGUUAAAGCUGAAGUGCGCCGAAAAGUACCCAUAUAUUGUCUAUAGAGUUCAAUUCUCAAUUGAUUUAGAUGAAUUACGUUGUAAAGUCGAUGAUCGCUGGUGAUAGAUUGAAUCGCUUCCAGUAAUCGCACACGCUCCACCUCGGAUUGCAAAAAUUCAACUGAACGGACACCCCGAUUUCUGGACAUGAUGCUCUCCUCCUCCGGCUAUAUAAUCAUAAUCUACUCGGAUCGGAUCGGAUCGGAACGGAUCGGACGUAAGUCGAAGGCGCAAAUCCGAAGCAAUACGAAAAAAGAAGAAGUCGCCGCCGAUAAUCGCCCAAGCCCCCUUAUCAAUAAUGGAUCGAAUGUUGCCAGGAGGGCUCAACAGAUGAACAGAUGCGCCUCAAAAUCUGGACAAGAGGUUAAUGGCGCUCUAAUGGCAUCUCUUGGCGAAUAAAAAACAAAUUUCUAAUAUAUAUAUACUUGUCGAACAAAUAUUGGACGAUAAGGGGGCAUGGUCACUGAUAGCUGAUUAAAUCUACCUGCUGACGCAUUCAAAAAAUCCGAGCGGUGUUAUUUUUCUUGAAGAUCUACGGGUUCUAUCAUCACAACUGUGAUACUUAUUAUCGGCCAGGGAUUUACCCUGAAAUGCAAAUUUGAUUUACGAAAACGCAGGUGAUUUUUCUGGGCAAAGAUUGAGUUUUGUUUG